rnacentral:rRNA from 1 species
AAGAUCCCUGAAAGAUGAUCAGGUUGAUAGGUCAGAGGUGGAAGCACGGCGACGUGUGUAGCUGACUGAUACUAAUCGAUCGAGGACUUAACCAAAUU